ACUUGAAGAAGAAGCAUCGAGUCGCGGCACCGCGGCGUCCUGUGGAUAUUUGAAAACUAAUUCCCCGAUACUCCGAUACACAUAUUUUGAUAAAUUAUCAAGAACCCCGAUUCAAAUUAAGCGCUCGUCGGGAGGUUGUGCGCGUUAACGGUACUUUACAGUUUGGCGAGUCCGGACCAAGAAUACGCUGUUUUCCCGACUCCGAUCCGACUGCCCGGCCGAUUUCCCGCCCAGCGGACUGCAGCUUGGAACAGGGAGUAGUGAUCCCAGGGAGUCCAUUGGUUCUCAGAUAUCCUCCCACCUCACCCAGGCCCAGCCUGGCAAGACGAAAGUCACACUCCAGCCACACCAGCGACGUACAACCGGCAGUAAAAUGAGUUCCCGCAGCAGUUUGUUUGGAUUUUGCCUCCUCCUGGCCCUGAUCCUGAGCCCGGCCCACGCCACCGUGCACUCGGUGCUCACCCACAAGAACUCCUCGUCGAUGCUGGGCCAGCUGGUCACCUCCAGCACCCUGGUCUGGGAGAGCUACGACCCGAACGACGCCGAGCAGCUGGAGUUCGCCGUCGAGGGCGGCAAGUACAUCACCGAGGACGAGCACUACCCGAUCUACGUCUGCCGAGUGCCCAUCGACGGGUUCCAGGUUGCCGGCCAGACCGAGAAGGUCCUCCAGCGCCACGUCUGUGUGGCGGCCCACUACAAGCACGGCAAGUACGACAACUUCGACGUGCUGAUGAACAAGGGCCACCUGGGCAAGGUAGGAUGGCGCCACUGGCGCAAGUUCGACGUUGGGGUGCCAGUGGGCGCUAUCCGCAUUGGAGACGACGCCUACAUCGGACGCCACCGGACGCCAGGACAGCCGAACAAGGGAGCGGACUUCAAUCUGGGCCACUUGGAGCCCGUGGGCCUGGGCAAGAUCCGGGUGAUUGAGAACGAGCGCGAAAAGUACUACGACGACGGCGAGCUCCUGGUCGAGACGGAGCCAUUCCGCUACGAGCUGCGGGACAUCAAGCUGGACCGCAUUCGCAUCGAAAUGCGCGAAAAUCUGACGGAGUUGGCCACCCGGAAGCUGGAGAACCUGGGGGACAAGUACAGCACCGUGGAGACCGUCCUGAGCUACAGCUUCGACUACAGUCAGUACUGGGGAUCCCACGAGGGAGUGGCCAGGGGCUUCCCCACGAAGAUAUUCGAAAAGGAUGUGAGCACGCCGGCGGAAAUCAACUGGGCACUGAAGCACACCGAGAUUCGGACGGAGAACAAGGCGGUGCAUACGAAACUGUGGCCCGGCACGGCCAUCAACGUGACUCUGCGCGGCAACUACGUGACCCUGGAGGCGCCCUACACCGGCAAGCUCUACGCCUUCUACUACGGCAGCGACGAGAUUGUGUCCCGGAAGAUCAGUGCAGAUGUGCGCAAGAGCUACUUGAAGGAUGUGAAGCUGGAGUUCAGCCCCGUCUACUGGAUCGAGAACGGCACGCUGGUGCCCACAACGACAACCACAACGACAACGACUACGUCCACAUCGACGACGACGCAUGCCACCACCACCAGCACCCACGAGCCCACGCCGAUCCACGAGCCCCCACUGGUGCACAUGCAGGACAAGGGGGUGCAGCACUCGGGCCCCGACACGCUGGAGAAGACGCUGCACGACUCGCCGUCCAGCAACGAGAUCAACUCCCACGAGGCCCCCGAGAACAUGUCCUCAAAGUCCGGCAAAGACGUGGCGCUGGCCGGCUUCGGGGUGAACACGGCCGCGGGAGCGAUGGCGGGCUCCGUCCUCAUGACGCUGCUGGCGGUGGGCCUGAGCCUGUAGAGAGGAAUCGACCGCCGGACUUAGCAUAGCGUUUAAUUGUUGUUGUUGUACCUGUUGUACCCGUCUUUGAGAGAAGGAGGAUAUGCGCAGCUAGAGACAUGUAGGAGCCCCUAGGAAUCGGGACGAAUUUUCGGCUACGCAUUCAGGAGUGGCGGAAAGGAGCAAGAUAAUUACGUAAUACAUUCCUAACUAAACCCUCACAAACGGAAAUGAAUCAAAAGCAUAAGUUAAAGAAUACAAAUACUACAUUCGAGUAGAGAUAUAUUUUAAAUGUUUUUUUGCAUCGCGAGGAUGGUGAAUUAUGUUCUGGACCGGCUUCUCAAUUCUUUAGUUAGUAAGCCAGCAGUGGCACACAAGUAGGAAAGGUACUAAACUGAAUUGACAAUUUAAUUAGGAAUGGUAUUAUAGACCUGCGCUUUAUAAUACGACUAUGAUGUAUGUAUAUGUCUAAAAUGUAAAUCUAUGUAAAACAUAAGUAUGUACGCUAUCUCGUAAGUAAGUCCAAAUAUGUAAAUGAAACACUA
rnacentral:misc_RNA from 1 species